AAGAAGAAGAGGGUCUUCUUCUAGGGUUUUUUGUUUUCAUAUCUUUCCUCCCUCCAUCUUGAGUUUUCUGAGAGUGUCUCAGAUCUGAAACUCCUCCUUCUACUUUUCAUCUUUGGAAGAGUCCAAAUCAAGAAGAAGGAGGCACCUGAUCAACCAUCGAAGAAGGAUCAGCGCAGUACUAGCAUACUGUGCUGAUUUUCUGAAGCAGGACUUCUGAUCGAGAUUCGUGGGCUCGUGUGGACGACUCCUAGAGGCCGGAUGCAUGUGCGGCUUGCAACAUCAUCCUCAAGCCCAGAUCAGCGAGGUUAGAAUGUCUAACUUGCAAGGUAAUAGAUCUGAUCUAUUGUUUAAUACAUACAUUAGAUAUAGUAUAGAAACAUGUUGAUAUGAUCAACAUGUAGUUCAUGCUAUAUUUAUUUAUUUUAAUUUUUGAUUUAAUACUAUGCAAUAAUCAUGUAAUAAGAUCUUAGAUCUAGAGAUACUCUAGUUUUAAAAAAUAAAUUUUGAUUUAUUUUAGUCUUCCGCUGUAUGAUCUUGAAAAAGUUUCAAGAUCUAACCCUAAAACCCUAGAUCUGGUUCCUACAAAGGGUGAAUGAGCCAGUAAUAUUCUGAGAUUGAUACAUAUUGAUGUAUUUGCACUCAUAAACAUAAAUACCAGAGGAGGGCUUACUACUUCAUUAAAAUUUCUGACGACCUAUCUUGGCAUGGGUGCGUCUUGCUUAUGAAGCACAGGUC
rnacentral:lncRNA from 1 species